rnacentral:rRNA from 1 species
UACGUAGGGGGGCAAGCGUUGUCCGGAAUCAUUGGGCGUAAAGCGCGUGUAGGCGGCCCGAUAAGUCCGCUGUGAAAGUCCAGGGCUCAACCCUGGGAUGCCGGUGGAUACUGUCGGGCUCGAGUCCGGAAGAGGCGAGUGGAAUUCCUGGUGUAGCGGUGAAAUGCGCAGAUAUCAGGAGGAACACCAAUGGCGAAGGCAGCUCGCUGGGACGUGACUGACGCUGAGACGCGAAAGCGUGGGGAGCAAACAGG